rnacentral:lncRNA from 1 species
GGAAGAGGAGAAAUAAGAAGACACUUGGUAAAGUGCUUGAUACAUAGCACAGGCUCAAAAACUGCCCACGGCCACGCAGGUGGGCGCGGCACCGGAGCCACCUCGGACCGGAGCCCAACCGGCUCCGGGGACUGUGCGUGCGACAGGGUAGUGCGGCGGCGCUCGCGCUGACCGGGUACUGGACCUCCGCCUGCAAUCCGGACGCCUCCAUAAAAACUGCGAGCUCCCCGGCACCCCACCCUCCAGCACAGAGCUGCGGCUCUGAAAAGUCAGCAACUGGAGACGCCAUUGCCCUUCCCACCCUUGCGGUGGCCGGGGACGAGCCAGUCGCAGUGCCUGUGUGCGGCGGGGCGCGCCGCAGGUAGGGGACAGCAGAUCUGCGAAGCCAUUUUCUGGGCGGAUUUGCAGUCAUUUCUACUCUUGAGAGAACUGACGGGGAUAGUAUGGCGGGGGCCUGGGGGGUGCCAGAUGAUGUCACCAGGAGCAGUUGACCUGGGGGUUACUCUGUUCUCUGACCCUAACCUGCUCCAAGACCCAGCGCCAGACGUCAGUCUUUUCAUCUACAAAAAUGCAAGGAAGGAUUAAAAUCAGACCGUGAAAAAUGCUUACAGCACAAGUAUCCAGGGAGGCUGUCCUUUUCAACUGCAUUGAAUAACCACCGAGAACAGCCCAAAGGUGGACAAUGGGGAAUGUGCAAGUAAAAUAGGAUCUACGUACAGAAUGGGUCACCACCAUGUCACAGUUGGAAGGAAUAAACUGGGUCUAUAGGCAGGGACCUGGAGCUCAAAAUACAUUAAGUAAAGGCAGACAGUUAUGGAAUAAUGCAUACAGCACAGUACAAUUUUUGCAGCACAUCAAACAGAAUUGUGGAUUUUCUAUUGUUAUGUUCAAUCGUUUGUGAAACUAUCUUUGAAAAAAAAGAAUGGGAGAGACACACUACUAACUCAUAAGAGUGGCUGUGUCUGGGGAGAGGAGCAAGGAGUUGUGAUAGCAAAUAAAGGACAUAAGAAACUCCAGCUUUUUUUUCUAAUUUUUUUUGGUACCAGGGAUCGAACUCAGGACCUUGUGCUUGCAAGGCAGGCGGCGGCACCACUGAGCUAAAUCCUCGGCCCUGUGGGUUCAAUCUUUAGGGCUGAAAUAAAGAAAUGCUGAAAACAAAUACAGUUUUGGGGUUUUUUUGUGAAUGAAUACUGGGGAUCCAACUAGGGCCUAUGUGUGCUAAGCAUGUGUUCUACCACUGAACUAUUUCCCCAGCUGUCUUGUUCUAGUUUUUAAACAUACAGGGAAGGGAGGCAAGAGUGACUCUGUGACCCAUCAAGUCCCUCAGCUCAAAGACCCUCUGACCAUCCAUGUAUUUAUUGUAGGCAGUAGUCCUUAAGGACCUAGUACCCCCCUACUCCAAAGGGCUUACAAGGGGCUUGGGGCACCUGCUUCAGCUCCCUCCCCAGUGUCAAGUUCUUCCCCAGCGUCAAGUUUAAUCUCAACCCCUUCCAC